UGAGUUUGUUAAAACAUGGAUUUGGUCAAAAGAUGUAAUUUAUGGUACAAGUUUUGGUCAGUGAAAAUUAAUUACAAACCAAGUGUUUGGUCAGUAUGGUAUUUGCAUGGUAAUGUUAAACCAUGUGAUUUAUCAUAGACUAUGUGUUUCAAUAAAUCUUUAUAUAGACAACCACUUUAUUUUUCAUUAACAUUAUAAAAUUAUUGAGCUCAUUUAUAUUGAUAGUAUCUUGUAUAUUAACAGGAUGCCUCCUUAAAGGAAGCCUAGUGAGAGACAAUCUAAAAGGCAGAAAAAAGACCAAACCCAAGCUCCACAGAAUGCAAUGACAGAGGCCAUCUCGGCAACUGUGACUGCCAAAGUGCUGGAGAAUUUGAAGGAGAAUGGCAUAUUGCCGCAACCUCGUCAGACGAGACCCCAACCUGUUGAGAUGGAUGUCCUCGUACAUGAAGAAUAUUCAACGGACCAACUCAUGUCGAACAAUGGCUCUUUAACAAAUUCCAUUUGAAACAGAAGUUUCGUCUAAAACCAUUUAUAUUGAAUGGCAGGGACAACAGGGUCAUUUGGUAAUUAUGUUAUCAAAUAUAGAGACAAGAAUAAGUAGGUGGUUUUGUAGUGCAACAAACUUCGGUGAGCAAAAUUCAGAUAUCAAAUUUAAAAAGUGGUGCUCUAUAUGAAAUAAGAACUUAUGUGGAGAGUAAGAGUGGUGAAGAACUUUAUCCUUUAAAACAGAAGUGAGAACAAUUACGUCAAUUGCAACAAUGUUUGUCGAGAACGCUGAUAAAAUAUGUGACGAGCCUACCAUAUAUCGCUUGCAUCCAACAAGAAAAAUAAAAUUGUUCAAGGGAAUAUAUGUGCAUGAGUUUUUUUCAGAAGUAAUGAAUGUACAAGAACGAACUCUCCUGUUAGUCGGUACAAGAGGAUCAGAAAAAAAGGGCUUUGGUGAAUGCAAUUGUAAAUUAUAUAACGACUUCAGAUUUAAAACGGAGGAAGAACAUUCGACUUUGUUCAUGUUUCGAACAAAAGACAUCAUUUGCUACUUAAUUUGAUGGUAGGAUGGAUUCAAGGUAAAGUUCAACCUCCAUAUUAUCGAUGUCCCUGGAUUUGAUUGAAAAGAGUUACCUCCCGAAAAUAAUGAAAGUAAUUGUUGGAAAUUAAUUGAUCUCUUCAGUUCAGUUCAAAACAUUGAUGCAGUUUGUCUUGUAGUUCACUCUUUUUGUAGACUAACCGAAGACCAAAGAUGCAUUUUCAAUAAUAUUUAAUCCGUAUUUGGGAAAGACAUUAGAUAUAUUGAUCCGUUUAUAACUUUUGAUGACGGUGGUGACAUUAAGGCACUCAACUCACUGAAAAAGGCGAACGUGCCAUACUUGGAACACAUGCACUUUAGUUUUAAUAACUCGCGAUUGUUCAGUGGAAAUGAGCACGCAGAAAUAUGGAAUAGACGACAGAAUUCCAUGAAUAAUCUUUUUUGGGAGCCUUCUUUCAUUUUCUAUUUAUCAGUAGAGAAAACAAGAGACGUACUUAACGCAAUAAUCAGACGACAUCAGAGUUUAAUUGAAGCAAACAGAAUAAAACAUGAAAUCGUGAAAAGGCAAGAGAUAAUAAGCAACUAUGAUAUGCGAUGCACUACCAAACCAAAAAUACCUCACAGAGAUGGGUUAUAAUCGAAUACUGAAACGUCUGCAUUAAAUGCCACAUGUGCCAACAGAUAUGCGUUUUUGAUUGCUCUACAUCUGCUGUGAUAUUAUGGUAUUUAGUUCUUUUCUUUGAAAAGGUUAGGACAUGUUUUUGCUGGAUCUUUUCUUCUUUGCGUAUUUGCAGAUGCACGUUUAAGAAUGCCCACUGUUGUUGCAUCAAAUGUCUUCAUAGAUGGAUUGGUUGUACAUGCUCUUGUUCAUUUGCUCAUCACUAUCAAUAAUAUGGCCGACGCAAAAAUGACAGUGAACACACCUUCAGCAUUGCACGUGACAUCGAAGAUCAGUCUGGCUUCGAAAUACAGAACAACACUAAAAAAAGACUUAUUAUGGAUGAAAUAACAAAAUUAAUUAACACAUUCAAAAGCAACUAUCAGAUAUUUUUUUCGAAAUGUGGAACUUAUAAAAACGGUCGCACUUUCUGGAAAUCUACCAAAAGAAUGGGAACAUGUGAGAAACUACCACGAUGAUUUACAGGAAAGUGUACCAAGAUGAAAAAAUUGAAUGUGAAAUCAUUUUAUAAAAUUAAUUCAUCUUGAA